rnacentral:rRNA from 1 species
CGGAACUGCCCAAGAGAUCGGGAUAACACCUGGAAACAGAUGCUAAUACCGGAUAACAACAGAUGAUGCCUAUCAACUGUUUAAAAGAUGGUUCUGCUAUCACUCUUGGAUGGACCUGCGGUGCAUUAGCUAGUUGGUAGGGUAACGGCCUACCAAGGCGAUGAUGCAUAGCCGAGUUGAGAGACUGAUCGGCCACAUUGGGACUGAGACACGGCCCAAACUCCUACGGGAGGCAGCAGGC